AGGUGCCUGGAGUGUUCGUCACCCCCGUUUUUGAACCUUCAUGACAUAAACGGGAGCUCGGGUCAAGUGGAAUACGGCCAAAACCCAUCGUGGACUUUUGUCCAGCAGGGGAAGGCCUAAGACCACUGCAGGGCACCCACCUGGUAGCAAUGCUGGGUGUCAAAAGGGGGUGCGACAUCCCGGGCAUUCU
rnacentral:other from 1 species